UCUCAACAACGGAUAUCUUGGCUCCCGUAACGAUGAAGAACGCAGCGAAAUGCGAUACGUAGUGUGAAUUGCAGAAUUCCGUGAACCAUGAAUCUUUGAACGCAAAUUGCGCUCGAGGCUUCGGCCAAGAGCAUGUCUGCCUCAGCGUCGGCUACUACCC
rnacentral:rRNA from 1 species